rnacentral:snRNA from 1 species
GGAUGGGAGGUCAAUCUGGCUGAGACAUCUGUUACCCCACUGAUUGCCAAGGUUGAAUCAGUUGAUCUGCUUGGCCAGACAGGUGUCCCUUUCCUCCCUCACCACUUCACAUGUGUCUCUCCAGAAGCUGUGGGCUCUGAUGGAAGAGGAUGACCACCCCCAACAUAGGAGGACCAUUUCCUCAGUCAAAGAUAUACAAGUAGCUGUGCUCCCCUGCUACAAUCUCUAAACAAGCUCUCAAGAAUUGGAAAAUAAUCUUUCAUAUAUGACUGUACACACAGAAAAUCU